GACAACAGAGACCCGAUCAACACAAGCUGCCACAGCCAACAAAACACAAACACUGAUCUUCAGACAUGCAAAGAACACGCUUUGUGUUUAACGUGCUGCAGAGGAGGAAGAGUUAGUGUGGCUCCUGAUACCUCACUUUUAUAUCAGUCACCUAAAACUCCGUCAGUGGUUAGAACCACUUUCUGCCGUCAUACUCAAGUCUCUGGGCAGCUCUCUGAAGGUGAAUGCUAAACUUCCUCACAGCAGAGUGUGUGAGGGCUCGGCCGAAGGCAGCAGAGCGGGACAAAAAUGAACUCAUGUGAAGCCAUGAACGCUCUCAG